GACCAAGGAGUCUAACAUGUGCGCGAGUCGUAGGGUUACGCUCAAAGCCCGAAGGCGCAAUGAAAGUGAAGGUCGGCCUCGAUUGCCGUUACCUAGGCGGGAUCCGUUCGGGCUUACCGGUCGUUCGCGGCUGAGCCCGGCGGCGCACCGCCGGCCCGUCUCGACCGCAUCGCCGGUGAGGCGGAGCGAGAGCGUACACGUUGGGACCCGAAAGAUGGUGAACUAUGCCCGGGCAGGACGAAGCCAGAGGAAACUCUGGUGGAGGUCCGUAGCGAUUCUGACGUGCAAAUCGAUCGUCGGACCUGGGUAUAGGGGCGAAAGACUAAUCGAACCAUCUAGUAGCUGGUUCCU
rnacentral:rRNA from 1 species